UAUUAAUUAGAGGCCCGGAUUGAAACGAACCUGCGUCUCUGUGAUUCAUCAGUGGCAAAGGUGUGUGUAGCACAUGAGCCACCUGCCCCUUUGACUCUACGAUGGGAUUCCCUAGAGACCGCCUUCUGGAACACUGAAUAUCUAACGUGACCGCCAGGUCAGCUUCUGGCCUUACUCUCUGUUGUGGGAUGGGCUCGCGGCCUAUCAUCUUGUUGGUGAUGUAAUGGCUCAGCAAGGCGUCGAAGUGAUCCGGCCUGAUAAGCUGACCGGCUGCACUGGAACUGAGACCCAGACCCCACUCCUACGGGACGCUGCAGUGGGUAAUAUUGCGCAAUGGGCCCAAGCCUGAUGCUGCACCCCCGCGUGAGGGACACUGCCUUCGGGUUGUACUCCUCUUUUAGAGGAAAGAUGCUAAAGUGACCGUCCUGCUUAGACGCUCCGGCUAACUACGUGCCAGCAGCCGCCUUAAUACGUAGGCCCCAUGCUUUAUCCGGAGUUAUCGUUCGUCAAAAUCUCUGAGGCUGUUUGUCGCGUCUGCUGUUAGAUCCGUAGGCUCUAYCUCCCGCCUGCUCUGCCUACGGGCUGACUACAAUGCUGUAAGGCAAAUUGAAUCAUUCCAGGGUGAAGGGAUUAAUGCUCAAAUAUCAAGAUGAACACCGAUGGCAAAGGCCGAUCUCUGGGCCGUAACUGACGCUGACGAACGAAAGGGUGGGGAUCAACAGGCUUAGAUACCCUGGUAAUCCCCUCCGUAGACGUUGCGAACUAGUUGUGGGGUCCAUUCCACGGAUUCCGUGACGCAGGUAACGCAUUAAGUUCCCCGCCUGGGGAAUACGGCCGCAAGGGUAAAAAUCAAAGGAAAUGACGGGGAGCCGGACCAGCGGCGGAGCCUGCGGAUUAAUUUGGUGCAAAGGGAAGAACCUUACCAAGGCUUGAAAUUUAAGAGAACGGGCCAGAAAUGGUCAACUGCUUGGACAAUCGUAAACACGUGGUGCACGGUGGUGGUCAGAUCGUGUCUUGAGAUGUUGGGUUAAGUCUCGCAACGAGCGCAACCCUCUUUUCAUGAGGCCAGCACGUAAUGGUGGGAACUCAUGGGAUAGAGCCGGGGUCAAAUAGGAGGAAGGUGGGGAGGAGGUCACAUCAUCAUGCCCCCUAUGUGUCGGGGUUCACGCAUGYUACAAAGGCCGGUACAAAGGGGUGCAACACCGCGAGGUGGAGAGAAUCCCAAAAAGCCGGUCUCAGUUUGGAGAGAGGUGUGCAAAUCGACCUCAUGAGGUGUGAGUCGCUAGUAAUCGCAGAUCAGCAACGGUGCGGUGAAUACGUUCCCGGGUCUUGUACACACCGCCCGUCAAGUCCGAAAGUCGGUAACACCCGGAGCCGGGGCUUAAACCCUGUAGGACCUCCAGGAGCCUGUACGCAUUACCAGGUGAUCGAUGGC
rnacentral:rRNA from 1 species